AACGAACGCUGGCGGCAGGCUUAACACAUGCAAGUCGAACGCCCCGCAAGGGGAGUGGCAGACGGGUGAGUAACGCGUGGGAAUCUACCCAGAUCUACGGAACAACAGUUGGAAACGACUGCUAAUACCGUAUACGCCCUACGGGGGAAAGAUUUAUCGGAUUUGGAUGAGCCCGCGUAAGAUUAGCUAGUUGGUGGGGUAAUGGCCUACCAAGGCGACGAUCUUUAGCUGGUCUGAGAGGAUGAUCAGCCACACUGGGACUGAGACACGGCCCAGACUCCUACGGGAGGCAGCAGUGGGGAAUAUUGGACAAUGGGCGCAAGCCUGAUCCAGCCAUGCCGCGUGAGUGAUGAAGGCCUUAGGGUUGUAAAGCUCUUUCAGUAGGGAAGAUAAUGACGGUACCUACAGAAGAAGCCCCGGCUAACUUCGUGCCAGCCGCCGCUGUAAAAC
rnacentral:rRNA from 1 species